CCUACGGGGAGCAGCAGUGAGGAAUAUUGGUCAAUGGACGGAAGUCUGAACCAGCCAUGCCGCGUGCAGGAAGACGGCCCUAUGAGUUGUAAACUGCUUUUGUACAAGGGUAAACCUGUAUACGUGUAUUCAGCUGAAAGUACUGUACGAAUAAGGACCGGCUAACUCCGUGCCAGCAGCCGCGGUAAUACGGAGGAGCCAAGCGUUUUCCGGAUUUAUUGGGUUUAAAGGGUGCGUAGGCGGAUUGAUAAGUUGGAGGUGAAAGGUCCGAGCUUAACUCGGGAACUGCCUCUAAUACUGUUGAGCUAGAGAGUAGAUGCGGUAGGCGGAAUGUAUGGUGUAGCGGUGAAAUGCUUAGAGAUCAUACAGAACACCGAUUGCGAAGGCAGCUUACCAAUCUGUGUCUGACGUUGAGGCACGAAAGCGUGGGGAGCAAACAGGAUUAGAUACCCUUGUAGUC
rnacentral:rRNA from 1 species